rnacentral:antisense_RNA from 1 species
CUCUAUGGUGGACGUGUCGGGCAGGCUCGCGCCUGGCCGGAUUAGCUUUGGUAACCGGUUUUCGACCCCGACACGUCCGCCACCCUG